ACAACUCGGACCUCCCUACGAUUUAUAGUUGCUCAUAAAAGUAUUCACUUUUCUUUAUAAGUACCAAGCGUUUGUCUGUGAAAAUUAUUCUCGCCUCUGAACGAAUAAGCAUUAUCAACUCUCGUCGACUUUGUAAAAAAAGAAAACCAAGACCGUCUCAAAAUGUACAGUAUUGACCAGGUUCAGGCUUACUUGAAAAGCAUAAUUAACCUAAUGCUGUGUACAUUGGCGCCGUGUCUCAAUGCUAUUGGAACACCCGCUAUAGCUAUCCAACUAAGGGGUAUUCUGUUCGACGCCAAUAAUUUACUGGCGACACACCACCCAUAUAUAACCCCUAUAAGUCCAUCACCUGAGCAGGAAAAAGAAACAUUGUUAGCUUUUACGGACUACAUACUGACACGGUUGAGGAUGGUUGAGGGAACGAACCCUGCGUUCAAGAACAUCAUCAACGUUCUCGACACUUAUAGGGAGCUAACAG